GAUGAACGCUGGCGGCGUGCCUAACACAUGCAAGUCGAACGAAGCAUUUUGUAAUGAAGUUUUCGGUAUGGAUUUUGUAGAUGACUGAGUGGCGGACGGGUGAGUAACAACGUGGAUAACCUGCCUCACACUGGGGACGAAACAGUUAGAAAUGGCUGCUAAUACCGCAUAAGCGCACAGUACCGCAUGGUACAGUGUGAAAAACUCCGGUGGUGUGAGAUGGAUCCGCGUCUGAUUAGCCAGUUGGCGGGGUAACGGCCCACCAAAGCGACGAUCAGUAGCCGACCUGAGAGGU
rnacentral:rRNA from 1 species